rnacentral:rRNA from 1 species
UACAGAGGGGGCAAGCGUUAUUCGGAAUUAUUGGGCGUAAAGGGCGCGUAGGCGGCCUGGCAAGUGGAAGGUGAAAUCCCUCGGCUUAACCGAGGAACUGCCCUCCAAACUGCUUGGCUUGAGUCCGGGAGAGGUGAGUGGAAUUCCCAGUGUAGCGGUGAAAUGCGUAGAUAUUGGGAGGAACACCAGUGGCGAAGGCGACUCUCUGGGCUGUAACUGACGCUGAGGCGCGAAAGCGUGGGUAGCAAACAGG